GUGAGGAAUAUUGGUCAAUGGGCGAGAGCCUGAACCAGCCAAGUAGCGUGCAGGAUGACGGCCCUAUGGGUUGUAAACUGCUUUUAUAAGGGAAUAAAGUGGGGCUCGUGAGCUCCUUUGCAUGUACCUUAUGAAUAAGGACCGGCUAAUUCCGUGCCAGCAGCCGCGGUAAUACGGAAGGUCCGGGCGUUAUCCGGAUUUAUUGGGUUUAAAGGGAGCGUAGGCCGCAGGUUAAGCGUGUUGUGAAAUGUAGGGGCUCAACCUCUGCACUGCAGCGCGAACUGGCUUGCUUGAGUACGCACAACGUGGGCGGAAUUCGUGGUGUAGCGGUGAAAUGCUUAGAUAUCACGAAGAACUCCGAUUGCGAAGGCAGCUCACGGGAGCGCAACUGACGCUGAAGCUCGAAAGUGCGGGUAUCGAACAGGAUUAGAAACCCGAGUAGUCC
rnacentral:rRNA from 1 species